AAUGAACGCUGGCGGCAUGCCUUACACAUGCAAGUCGAACGGCAGCAUGACCUAGCUUGCUAGGUUGAUGGCGAGUAGCGAACGGGUGAGUAAUGCAUCGGAACGUGCCUUUUAGUGGGGGAUAACGUAGCGAAAGUUACGCUAAUACCGCAUAUUCUCUGAGGAGGAAAGCAGGGGACCUUCGGGCCUUGCGCUAGAAGAGCGGCCGAUGUCGGAUUAGCUAGUUGGUGAGGUAAAGGCUCACCAAGGCAACGAUCCGUAGCGGGUCUGAGAGGAUGAUCCGCCACACUGGGACUGAGACACGGCCCAGACUCCUACGGGAGGCAGCAGUGGGGAAUUUUGGACAAUGGGCGCAAGCCUGAUCCAGCCAUGCCGCGUGAGUGAAGAAGGCCUUCGGGUUGUAAAGCUCUUUCGGCUGGGAAGAAAUCGCACCCUCUAAUACAGGGUGUGGAUGACGGUACCAGCAGAAGAAGCACCGGCUAACUACGUG
rnacentral:rRNA from 1 species